UUGGUUGAAUGACUUGCAAAUAUUUUUUCUUAUUCUGUCAUUUGCGUUUUAAUCCUAUCAAAGUUGUCGUUUGAUAUUUUCAAAGUAACCCAACUUACCAAGCUUUUCCUUUAUGGUUAGCCCUUUUGUGUCCUGUUUAAGAAAUCUUUGCCUACCCUGAGGUCAUAGACUAUUCUUGUAUGCUAUAGUAUUAGUCAUGGUCAAGUUAGAAAAACAGAAAUCACACUAUAUAUUUCAACAGAGAGGAUUUAAUAAAGAGAAAUGGUUACACACAGGUAUUAGAAACUGAAAAACAACAACCAAAAGAAACCCUGAGUUAAUACAGAGGCAAUAACUUCAGGAAACAGAUUUUGCCCUAAGGCUAGGGGGACAAAGGGAAGAAGUUGGGGUUAUCAGAACCUGAAGUCUUUCAGUGACUAGAGCUAUGAUAUAUGCAAGUAUAAUAUAUGUAUAUAUCUACACAUGUAUAGUUAUAUUACUAGAAAUGUACGUUUAUACUGAUAUCUCCAAUUCCAAUUCAGUCACAGAGUUCUACCUUGCCUUUAUCCAGGACUGUCUAUGUAAUUUGUGGGGCUCAUUGCAAAAUGCAGUGUGGGACCCCUUGUUAAAAAUGUAUUAAGGAUUUCAAAACAGCAAUAGUAGAGCAAUAAACCCAGAGCAGAUCCCUUCUAUGCAGGUGACCCUGUCUGACUGCCUAGGCCACAUAUGCAUGAAGCCAGCUCUGUCUUCACCAUUCCAUAUUUCUAUGUCCCUUCUUCCACGGUGAGAACCCUCGCUCAAAACAUUGACAGAUUUACUCAGUGCUGUCUACGUAAUUUCAAUUUCUUAAUAGAAAGUUUAAAAAAUUUCCUGGUGGAAAGGCUUUCUUGGUUUCUGAUUUUGUUUUUAAUUUCUAAUUUUACUCCAUUCUGGUCAGGGAAUGUUGCUGGAAGUAUUUCUUCUUUCUGGAACCUACUGUUAGUUUUUGUGACAAUAUAUGAUCAAUUUUUAUGAAUAUUCUCUAUGUGCUUGAGAAGAGAGUAUACUUUCCAAUUCUGGGGUACAAAGGUCCAUUUAUAUCCAUAAGAGCUGCCAUAUUGGUUAUGUUGUUUGAAUCUUUGAUGUCCUUACUUUUCUUGCCUGCGUGAUCUAUCCUGUGUGGACAGUGGUAUGUUAAAGUCUCCUACAGGUUACUGUCUUGGUUUCCUAGGCUGCCAUAACAAAAUACCACAAAGUAGGUGACUAUAAAGAACAGAAAUUUAUUUUCUCACAGUUCUGGAGGCUAAACAUCCAAAUUAGGGUCUUGGCUAUGUCAAUUCCUUCUGUGGGUCUCUCUCCCAGUAUUUGGUGGCUGCUGACAGUUCUUGGUGUUUCUUUGCUGCAUAUAGAUGCAUCUCCCUCUGUUACAACCUGGUGUCUUUCUUCCCCCUAUUUCAUCCAUUUUAUAAAACACCAGGCAGAAGGGAUUAGGAUUAGGACCCACCCUACUCUGAUACGACCUUGUUUAACUUCACCUAUCACAUCUGCAAAGAAAAACUCUAUUUCCCUAAACAGGAUCACUUUCAAGGGUGAGGGGGGUAGCACUUCAACAUCUCUUUUCUUUUUUUUAAAUCUUAUUACUUUUUUUUUUAAUAUCACAAUUCAACCCAUAGCAGUUAGUACAGAUAGAUUUCUGUUUCUCCAGGCAUCUCUUAUAGUUUUGCCCUAUAUAGGUGGUGGUUGUGUUAUUUGGCGCACAAAUAUUCAUGACCAUUAUAUCUUCAUGAUAAACUGUGGCUUUUAGCAUUAUUACAUAGAGUAUCCCUCUUCUUCUUGUUUAGUGUGUUUUGGCCAGAAUUUCACUUUAUCUGGUACUAGGAUAACAAACCUAGCUUUUUAAAUUGUUUCCAUUUGUCUGGUGUAUCAUUCUUCAUCUUUUAUUGUUGUUUGCCUUUAGCUUUGCCUCAAAUACAGCAUAAAUUUGAGUUUCGCUUAAUGUGUCAAUUUUAAAAUCUUCUUCCUUAUUGGUGAGUUGACCAAUUCACAUUUAUUGGUAUAACUGACAUGUUUGAUCUCAACUUUCUUGUAUUAUUUUGUGUUAUAUUACUGUGUGUAUUAUGUUAUAUAAACUGUCAUAUUAACACUGUCAUAUUUUUUAAAAUUUCUUUUGAUAUUUAGGAAAAAAAUUUAGGAAGGUUUAUAUUUUUGUUCAAGUGGUUAUGUUCAUAUACCUUUUACAGUGCCUUUAAUCUCCAUUUAUUUUACUUAACCUUUUAUUAUUUGGUUUGUCAGUUUUAAUUGUUUUUUUUAAUUGACCUUUGGACCUCAUUGAAUUCACUUUUUAGCUCUAAUAAUUUAUCCGUGGAUUUUUUUGUUUUUACUUUUUAUAUAUACUAGUUAUGUGAUCAGAGAAUAAUGAUAGUUUUAUUUCUUCCUUUCCAAUUCUUAUCCUCUAUCCAUUUUUUAAAUUUAUUGCUGCUAAGACCUCCUGUACAAUGUUGAAUAGAAACAGUGAUAGUGGGUAUUCUUGUGCCAUUCCUGAUCUCAAAAACUUUUACCUUUUCACCAAUAGUAUUGUUUUUUAUAGAUACCUUUUAAAAAUAAAAAUAGUUUUCUUCUAUGCCUAGUUUUCUACUAUUUUUUAAAAUUAUUAAUGUUUUUUCUUGCUGCAUUCGAGAUGUCCUUUUUGCCUAUGAUUUUCAAUGGUUUUCAUUAUGAUGUGCCUAGGUGUGGAUUUUGUUUUUUGUUGAGCCUGCUUGGGGUUCUUCAAGUUUCUUGAACCUGAGGUUUGAUGCUCUUCAUUAUUUUUGGAAAUUUCUCAGCUGGGUUCCCUAGAGAAGCAAGACCAGUAAAGUGUAUAAAUAUGUAUAUGUAGAGAUUUAUAUCAAGGAAACAGCUCAUGCAAUUGUGAGGCUGGAAUAUCCCAAGCCUGUGGAUCAGGAUAGAGACCUUUCCCAAUUUAUGGAGCCACAGAAGCUGGUGAACCCAAGGUGAGCAGGUCGGAGAGCAGGGCUCCCACUCACAGGCAGUGAAGGUUGAGGAAUCCCAAGGUCAGCAGGCAAGGCCCCAAGGUUUCUCCUGAUUCAUGUAGCUGCAGGGGCUGGCAAACCCAAGAUUGGCAGGUUGGGGAGCAGGACUCUUGCUCGCAGGCUGUGAAGAUCGAUGAUCUGAAGAUUGACAGGAAAGAUGCCAGCUCAAGUCCCAAGAACCAGCGGUCAGACAAGAGACAGUUGCUGGAUUCAGAACAAGCCAACAACCUUGGCAAAGCGAGCAGGAAGGAAGUAGGCAACAGAAGGUGGAGAGAUGAAGGCUGAGGGGGCGGUGAAAUGCCACAUGCCCCACCCCUGCUGGUACCACUCAGCAGAUUCCAUCAUGGGGGUAAUCACAUACCAAAUUUCAGCAGGGAAGUGAUCACAACAUUAUACAACUGCCAAAACACUGAGAAUCAUGGCCCAGCCAAGGUGACACACGAUCUUAACCAUCACAGCCAUUAACUCUGAAAUAGUGCCUUUCUCUCCAUUCUUUCCUCUCUCAGUCUAAAACUUUAAAUGCACACACGGUAGGCAUUCUUAACGAAAUCUCUAUUUCUGUUAUUGGCUUUCUGUGUUUUCCAUCUUUUUAUUGUUCUGUGAUUUAUGCUAGAUAAUUCUUUUCUGCAUUCUAGUUUAUUAAUUCUUCCUUCACUUGUGCCAAUCUGCUUGAAAAUUUAUCCUUUGAAUUAUUAAUUUUCAUUAUUCUAUUUUCAAUUCUAGAAUUUCCAUUGGUUCUUUUAAAAAUAAAUAAUUUCCAUUUCUCUGCUGAAAUUCUCAGUCUUGUCUUUUAUCUCCUUGAACAUAUUAAGCAUUUAGAAGUUUACGCUUGUUAGCUUGAGCCCCUGUGGCCUAGUUCUAUUGUUUAUUUUUCUGCUGAUUUUCAACCAUAUUGUUUAGUCUACUCACGUUCUUGGUUAUUUGUAAUUGUGUGCAGAAAUUAUAAUUGCAUAAUUAUUUGUAAAAAUAAUUCGUUUGAUGGUAUUUUCCUUCAGAGAGGAUUUACCUUUUUUUUCUGCCAGAUGCCUGAGUGCACUAGCAAUCUGUGACCACUUCAAUCCAGUUUUAGUGACUGAGCUCAUUUGAAACUGAGCAACAGUUUUUUCUGGUUACUGUUACUUUUAUGGUGUAGUCCUGUGAAAUUCCAUUCCAAACUGAGGGACAUUCACUAUGUUCCUCCCUUAGUUCUGUCCUUAGACUCCAAUCUCCAAUCUCCUUAGCCUUCUAAGCUUGCCAGAAUCGCUGAGCAGCCUGUCCACCAACCCCUCUAGAAAGAGCAACCACCUCUGGGGGAAAAGCAUUUCUAAGCAUUGGCUUACCUCCCUGGGCCUUCAUCUUCUCUGAUCCUGGCUUGGCAAGUCUACACUAUAUUUUUUUAACUACCUGAUAUGGCCUAGCAGAUUUUUUGAAACACUUUUUCUGCCCAGCUUUUUAAAUUGUUCUCAGCAGGGGCUUUGGUUGGAAUUACCUGUUCUCCAUUAUUGGAAAUGGAAAUCUUGUUGUUUCCAUUUUACAGAUGAGGAUACUGAGAGGUACAGAGCAUAAGUAACUUUCCCUAAACAAAUUUAAGACUAAGUUAUAGACUCAAUGGUUUAGGCUAAUUUAGGCUUGUCUUAGGGAGUAACACAUACAAUUUCCUUUCCUUUGCAAGACUCUGGGGUCUGUUUUACCUGUGGUGGCAAGGGCAUGCUGAAGGUAGUGAAUAUAGUGUUUGCCCUAGACGAGGCAUUACAGUUAAGAAACUGGGAGUCCCAGGAGACUGGAGAAAUGAGGAGAGAAAUAGGCUUAGCAUGUGAGUUAACAAGCACCCAAUAAAUAUUUGUGAAAUAAAUGAAUGAAGGAAAGAAAUUCUUUAAUUUCAUUCUGACUAUAGAUUUUGCUAGUUCAUCAACUUGUUCCUGAGAGUUGGGCUGGGGUAAGAAGCAUUUAGGAACCAAACUAAAAAUCAAACCUGUUGCAGUGGAGUCGAUUCCAACUUAUAAUGACCCUAUAGGUCAGGGGUAGAACUGCCCCCAUAGGGUUUCUAAGGAGUGGCUAGUGGAUUCAAACUGCCAACUUUUUGGUUAGCAGCUGAGCUCUUAACCAUUAACCAGGGCUCCAACAGAUUAUUUAAAUUGGAAAAAAGUGAAAAAUGGUCUUCAAAUGUCGUUGACUAUAAGUAGUUAGUAUUCAACCACUUUUACCAUCUGGUACCUGAUUUCAAGUGCCAAGAGAAAACAUGUUUAGAAUUCAAAUAGAUUCUUCAGAAAACACCAGUGACGAUGCAACUCCUGAAAUAUUCAUAUUAGGCUGUGUCAAUGAAAAUUUUCUCCAUUUAUUUGCCUUUUUUUUUUUUUCUUUUAAACUAUAAUUGUAGUGGAAAUCUAUCAGUGUAAGAGAAGUGAAAUCGGCAUUUUCAGGAAACUAGGAGACCUUUCCCAUCACUUCCUAAUCAGCAGAGUGAAUCCCAAAAGAAAACUCAAACCCGUUGAGUCUAUUUUGACUCAUGGGGACCUCACGUGUUACUGAGUAGAACUGCUCCGUAGGGUUUCCUAGGUGAGAAUCUUUACAGAAGCUUGUUGCCAGGCCUUUUUUAUGUGGUGCCACUGGGUGUGUUCAAACCACCAACCCAUAAACCAUUUGUGCCACCCUGGGACCUCCACAGAGUGAACAAAUGGACUUAAUUCUGAUUGCUGCUACUGUGGUACUGUAAAUGCUGGUGUUGUUUCUAACACCUAAGAUAAGGUAGGGAGGAGAACAAAAAAUGCUUUGUUUUUUAUUUCCUGGUGUUUCUGGGACAAGCUGGGAAGCUCCGGCUGUGUUCAUUUAGCCGUUGAUGGACUCCAACAUAGGCAGCCUGCUGGGGGUGGGGGAGCCAACAGGCAGGAAAUGAAACUUCUGAUGUGGCUAUUGAAUAAGCUAUGAACAGGGUGUAACAGUGCUUGGAGAAGGCUGGGAAGCCAAAGUUCUUCGAAAGUAAUGAAGCCACUUCCAGGCAGGUAGCCCAAUGAGCUGAUUAAGUGUACAGUAUUUGAACCAGACGUAUCUGAGCUCCCAUCUGCGACCUUGGGCUAGGUGUUUAACCUCUCUUAGCCUAAAAACCUUUUAAGUAAGGUUAUUGUGCAGAGUAAAUGAGGGAGUGUACCUCCUCACACAUAAAGAAAAAAAAAAAACCAUUGCUAUUGAGUUGAUUCUGACUCAUAGCAAUCCUAUAGGACAGAGUAGAACUGCUCCAUAGUUUCCAAGGCUGUAAAUCUCCUGUAAAGCAGCUGGUUGGUUCUAAACCACCAACCUUUCUGUUAGAAACCAAGCACUUAACCACUGCACCACCAGGGCUCCUUACAGUGUACAUAAAACCCUUGAUAUAAAGUGAAUAUUGAAGUAUUAUUACCUUUCAUAGCCAUAGGGCUUUCUCUGGUGGGUGGGUGGGGCUUCGGGUAUCUUUAGGACAGGAUGCAGUGUACUUCCCCUCCCACUUCCCAUUGGUCAUACUUUUAUAUUGUUAAAGCCAAUGAACUAGGGCAACCUUGAAGGGAGAAAGUGUUGCAAAAGGGCAAUAGGCUAUCAGAGAGACGGGUGUAGAAGUUGGGGAGGCACUCAUUUAUUUACUCAGCAAAUAUUUACAAGUGCCUACCACCUGCAGUAUUUGCAGUGAAGAAGUCAUUGGUCUUGCAAAAUACUCUUAUGUGAUCUCCAGCAUCAUUUCUAUCACCAAGGCUAUAUUUUCCAACUACCAAUUCUGCAUUGUUUCCAACUUUCGUAUUCCAAUCACCAGUAAUUAUCAGUGCAUCCUGUUUGCUUGUUUGAUCAAUUUCAGACUGCAGAAGGUGGUAAAAAUCUUCAAUUUCUUCACCUUUGGCCUUAGAAGUUGGUGUGUAAAUUUGAAAAAUAAUCGUAUUAACUGGUCUUCCUUGUAGGUGUAUGGAUAUUAUACUAUCACUGAAAGCUCUGUACUUCAAAUUAUGGAUAACAUUAUGAAGAAUGAGAAUUCCAGAACACUUAAUUGUGCUCAGGAAGCAGUCAUUUGAACUGAACAAGGGGAUACUUCGUGAUUUAAAGUCAGGAAAGGUGAGCGUUAGUAUAUUGUAUCCUUUCAUCAUACCUAUUCAAUGUGUAUGUUGAGCAAAUAAUCUGAGAAGCUGACUAUACGGAGAAGAACAGGGGAUCAGGAUUGGAGGAAGACUCAUUAACAACCUGCAUUAUGACACAACCUUGAUUGCUGAAAGUGAAGAGGACCUGAAGCACUUAUUGAUGAAGAUCAAAGACCACAGCCUUCAGAAUGGAUUACACCUCAAGACAAAGAAAACAAAAAUCCUCACAACUGGAGCAAUAAGCAGCAUCAUGAUAAAUGGAGAAAAUGUUGAAGUUGUCAAGGAUUUCCUUUUACUUGGAUUCACAACCAAAGCCCAUGGAAGCAGUGGUCAGAAAAUCAAAUGAUGCAUUGCACUGGGCAAACCUGCUGCAAAAGACCUCUUUAAAGUGUUAAAAAGCAAAGAUGUCACCUUGAGAACUAAGGUGUGCUUGACCCAAGCCAUGGUGUUUUCAGAUGCCUCAUAUGCAUGUGAAAGCUGGACAAUGAAUAAGGAAGACGAAAGAAUUAAUACUUUUGAAUUAUGGUGUUGGCAGAGAAUAUUGAAUACACCGUGGACUGCUAGAAGAAUGGACAGAUCUGUCUUGGAAGAAGUACAGCCGUAAUGCUCCUUAGAAAUGAGAAUGGCGAGACUUUGUCUCAUGUACUUUGGACAUAUUAUCAGGAGGGACCAGUCCCUGGAGAAGGGCAUUAUACUUGGUAAAGUAAAGGGUCAUUGAAAAAGAGGAAGACCCUCAACGAGAUGGAUUGACACAGUGGCUGCAACAAUGAGCUCAAACAUAGCAACGACUGUGAGGAUGGUGCAGGACCAGGCAGUGUUUCGUCCUGUUGUACAUGGGGUUGCUAUGAGUCAGAACUGACUCAACAGCACCUAACAACAACAAUAACAUGAAGAAGAAUACAUAGUGCCCUGAGCUCGUGUGACAAAUUUAGUAUGCUUUGGGGCAUGGUGGGGCCUGGGUGGCGGGAAGUUCAAAGAUGAUACAUGUCGCUCUUGUCACUUUAGGGCUUGUAGGUAAUAGUCUCUCCAGUCCCUUCUCUUGAGCCUAAGCUGACUAGUGGAGGUGAUCAUCUGACUGCCCUAUAAGGACAUCAGGGGUGCCUAUUUCUUGACUACACCCUGACUGAUACACCAACCCUACAUCAGAUUGAUGGAUUCUGGCCAAUCUAUUGAAAUAUGUCAGGCCGGGCAACAGCAAUUCCCUGCUUCAACUGGUUUCCAUCUGACUUGCUUCAUAUCCCAGAUUUGGCUAGGCCAACAGCUGUGUGGAAAGAUUUCAUUUCAGCUCUCUUGCAAACAGGGUCAGAUUGAGGAGAUUGGAUUUCAGCUUUGGAUAAUAGGUCUGAGGUCCAGAUUUAGCAGAAAGAUUCUCAGAGAGAAAAUAAAGGGUAAGAAAAUAUUCCCUCAUUUUCCUAAAGUGUUCAAAUGUCUUCUUCACAAUAAGUGAGGUCAAGAUUGCAGGCAUUUUUCUGGUGACCACUAGUGGACUCCCUGUGUGCUUUCGCCAUGGCCCCUGACCUUGUAUAAAUAAUAUGCAUUAUUGUAACUACUGUAAGAAUUAAGAAGUCCCUGGGUGGUGCAAAAGAUUAAUGUGUUCGGCUGCUAAGCAAAAUGUUGGAGGAUUGAGUUCACCCAGAGGCACCUCAGAAGAAAGGCCUGGUGUCUACUUCCAAAAAAUUAGUCACUGAAAACCUUAUGUAGCACAGUUAUACUCUUGACACACAUGGUGUCAUCAUGAGUCAGAAGUGACUUCAUGGCAACUAGUAUAAGAAUUAAAGAUGAGAAAAGAAGCAACUGCCAAAUGAAAGUAAAGAAUGAUACCAGAUUUCCCUGCUCCUCUUCUGGGGGCAAAAGAGCUCUCUGCCCAGCGGGUGAAAAAUUUCACAUUCAGGCAAAAACUUCAGCCUUGGAAUCCAGAGAACAUCUGCACAUGGAGAGACUACUCCCUGCUCUCCGAGCAACUCCAGCUGUGAUUUAGCCUGCAGUUGUGCAGCCCUUUGCAGUUUAUAAAGCACUUUAAGCCCUGAACUACGCUUAAAGGAAAGCUGUAUUCUGUUAACAAUUCUGUCAGCCCCUGCACUGCUCUUGGCUUGGGACUCCUUGAAAGUAAAACAUGGAAGCUGGCUUAGAGUAAGUAUUCUUAAGCUUUUUCACGCCCUUUGACUGUCUAGGGAUGACUCUGGACACCUCAGAAUAAUGUUUAAAUGCAUAAAAUAAAAGACAUUGGGUUGCAAAGGAAAGAACUUUUAUUGAAGUAAAAUCAGUUGCCUCUAAGUUGACUAAGACCCAUGGCGACACCUUGUAUAUCAAAGUAAAAUUGCACUCCACAGGCUUUUCAAUGGCUGGUUUUUCAGAAGUAGAUCACAAGGAUUUUCUUUUGAAGCACCUCUGGGUGGAUUUGAAUCUUUAACCUUUUGGUUAACAGCUGAGCACAUUAAUCAUUUGUACCACCCAGGGACUCCUUAUUGAAAUACAGUUAUCAAAAUACCAAAAAUAUAAAUUUGUGAUAGAGUAAUAUAUGCAGUACUUUAAUAAUGGCUUAAAUAGCAAGAUGUAGGGGCAAGUCUAAUUGUUGUUGUUGUCAGGUGCUGUCCAGUGUUCAGACUCACAGUGAUCCUAUGUGCAACAGAAUGAAACCGCUUGGUGCUGUGCCAUCCUCACAAUCAUUAAGCUUGAGCCCGUUGUUGCAGCCACAGUGUCAGUCUAUCUCCUUGAGGGUCUUCCUCUUUUUCACUGACCCUCUACUUUACCAAGCUUGAUGUCCUUCUCCAGGGACUGGUCCCUCCUGAUAACAUGUCCAUCCUUGCUUCUAAUGAGCAUUCUGGCUGUACUUCUUCCACGACAAAUUUGUUAUGUUCUUCCAGCAGUCCGUGGUAUAUACUCAAUAUUCUUUGCCAAUACCAUAAUCCUAAGGCAUCAACUCUUCUUCUGUCUUCCGCAUUCAUUGUCCAACUUUCACAUGCAUAUGAGAUGAUUGAAAACACCAUGAUGUGAGGUCAGGAGCAUCUCAGUCCUUAAAGUGACAUCUUUGUUUUUUUUUAACACUUCAGAGAGGUUUUUUUUUUUCAGCAGAUUUGCCCAAUGCAAUGUGUCGUUUGAUUUUUUAAAAAUUUUUUUUAUUGUGCUUUAGGUGAAAGUUUUUAGCUCAAGUUAGUUUCUCAUACAAAAGUUGAUACACAUAUUGCUAAGUGACCCUAGCUGCAAUCCCUAUAAUGUGAUAGGACACUCCCCUUUUCCACUCCAGGUUUCCCAUGUCCAUUCAACCAGCUCUGCUCCCUUUCUGCCUUCUCAUCCUGCCUCUGGACAGGAGCUUCCCAUUUAGCCCCAUGUGUCUACUUGAACUAAGAAGCACACUCUUCACAGGUGGACAUCCAGUUAUGCCGCCAUCAUUUGUUAAAGAGACUGUCUUUUCCCCAUUUAAUGGACUUUGAGCCUGCACAGUUUGAUUUCUUGACUGCUGCUUCCAUGGGUGUUGAUUGUGGAUCCAAGUAAAAUGAAAUCUUUUACAACUUCAAUAUUUUCUCCCUUUAUCCUGAUGAAAACAGAUGAAAGGUGUCUGAUAUUUCAAGAUAUCUGCAACAAUUGUAAUGUGAUUUGAGCAUAUCGUGAUUUUUUUUUGGUAACAAAGACACAGAUGCUGUUAAUGUUACUGUGACAAUAUAAUUCAUAAUUCAAGCAUUCACAAUUAAAAUGCUAAAUUUCAGUAAUCCAAGUGCACAUAUUCCUGAAUUCUCUCCACAGACUCCUCAGGGGUCUUAAUUCCUAGAUUAAAAACUCUGGGACUGGAUGGUGUCUAAGGACCUGUUGCGGCCAGUGAUUAGGUGAUUCUGGAUCGAUUCAGCUCUGAGGCUGGUGUUGUUGCUCCUUGCCUAGGUCCCACUAGCCCUUCCACUGGGGCUUUGGGGACUUCAUGCCAGGGGCUGGUAGUCAUGCACAUCCUGCUUUUCUGUGCUAAUGAGAUUCUUAGGCCGUGCCUAUCAUGGCAACUGGGCCUAUUCGGUAUCUGGAAGUUGCUCUCCUCCCAGGGCUAUGCACCAGCCCAUUGUUGCUGCUGCUGCUAAAGAUUUCUCUGCAUACCUUGACUGUGAGUCAGCAAAAGAGGUAUAUAGAGAAGGGGCCAAGAGCCAGUUCCUUCAGUAGAGCCACCCAGGGUCACUGCUGUGUAUGUGACUGACUCACGGAGCCCUUCCUGGAACACGCACAGGCAGGAAAUGACUGCUUAGCUAUCCAGAAACUCCAUCCCUCACCUUGCGAUGGAGUCAUUCAUCAAUGAAUCAUGUAUCUCCACAUCAGCUGGUCUCUACUCACACACUGCUGUCACCUGGCACAGGUCUCUCUGGGAAUUUUCGCAAGAGCUCGUCUAAUUAAUGCAAAUAUGACACAGUCUCCUCUCCCACCCAACAGGUUCUUAUCAUGCAGAAAGGAAACAUUCAUUGGGAUCUUAUGUUCUAAAAGGAAGGAUUAAACCUUACAUCACCAUAAAUGGUAACUUUUUUUUUAAUUGCAUAAGGAGGAUCUUGUUUUUCAAAUAAAUGCAGAGAAUACAUUUUUUCAGUUUAGAGGUUUUUUAGUAUUACUGUAUUCUGUAGAUUCUAAGACUCACAUUUUUCACACUUGAAUAUCUCUGAAAUCAGAAUAUGUCUUAGAAUUGAUAGUGACUACAGAGCUUUUUUUUUUUUUUACAGAGCCCUGUCAAUUCUAAGACAUAGAGUCCUGGGAAACCCUCGUGGCAUAGUGGUUAAGUGCUAUGGCUGCUAAGCAAGAGGCCGGCAGUUCGAAUCUGCCAGGCACUCCUUGGAAACUCUACGGGGCAGUUCUACUCUGUCCUAUAGGGUCACUAUGAGUUGGAAUCGACUUGACGGCACUGGGCUUGGGUUUGGGACAGAGUCCUGGUGACACAGUGGUUAAGAGUUCAGCUGUUAACUAAAAAGGCCAGAAAUUCGAUUCCACCAGCUGCUUCUUAGAAACCCUAUGGGGCAGUUCUAGUCUGUCCUAUAGGGUCACUAUGAGUUUGAAUUGAAUCGACGGCAACAGAUUUUGGGUUGUUUUAUACUUGCUAAAAUAGGGUACAUAAAGACAGAGACAGGGAGUUAGAGGAUUUGAAUAAAAAUAGGACCAAAGUGGAGGUGGGGCCAAGAUGGCAGAAGAGUCAUAUGCUUCUGGUGGUGCCUCUUACAACAAAGACCCCCCCCCCAAAAAAAAACAAGUGAAUUGAUUAUAUAUGACAAUCUAGGAGCCCAUCAAAGAUAAAGUUGAGGAGUCGGACUGAGCAGCAGGGGGAGGGAGAGAUAAUUCAGAAGCAGUGAGGAUUUGCCAGACCUAACCUAGCCAGCACCCUGCAGGCUGGAUCGGCUGGUGCUCAGGGGCUGAGGAAAGCAGUAGUAAUACAGACAGGUUUUCCACAUUGGGAGAAAAUGAGUGAUAAAGAGUCUGCUCAAGCCUCCUGAACCAGGGAGAAGCAAUUCUGAAUCAGCCAAAGUUAAGUACAAGCCUCUAACCCACCUAGCCGGAUCCAAAAGAACCUUUCCCCCUCUGGGAAGUACUUCUCUCCCAUUUACCUGCCCCUUCCCCACUCUGCUCCAGGUCCCAGUCCAGCUUCACUGAUUGCAGCGUCUCACUGGUCCAGAAGUAAGACCCGUCACAUGUCCUGAGCCAUCCUCCUGGCUUUGGAGAGGGAACAAAUUAGCAAUCAGGAAAAAAUAAUCUGCCAGCUCCCCUAAGCCAGGACCUCAGGGGAGGCACAGCCCCUUUGCCUAAGCUCAGGUAGAAGGGGUCCACGGUUUUAAAUGCCUUUCAGCCUAUACCUGUGUGGGCCCAUUUCAACAGUAUAGGCCCUCAUUAGCACAGUACAACAGGGUAUAUACCUGAAGCCUAUUUUCAACUGCGACAGCUAAGGGGCAGUGGCAGAUUUGUGACUUUUGACACCACCCUACCCAUUAGGCAGGGUCCUAACCUACCCACAUCAGGGGCCCGAGGACUGGUGGCUCCACCCCCUCCACCUAGCCACCCACGACAGGGGUCUGAGAAUAAGUGGUGCAUCCCAGUCAUUACAGCCAGCAGCACUGGGUGCACAAAUUCUGACUGCAAAACCCACCUACCUACAUGCUCUAGGAAACAGGGACAUGCCUUCCAUCCAGGCACUCAGGAGCAGCUGUCAAUCCUUUAACUUGCUCAACACAUGACCCCCUACUGCAGCCAGAUACUUGUGUCCACUCCAAUCACCGCUGCCCAUCUAGUACUGUAGGUGAGAGCCUGUACCACACACUCAGAGACUGAUGACCUGGACAUCUGAGCUGAAUCCACACAAGAAAAGUAAAUGGACUGCUGUGCUCACAUGCCUAGCAACAGCUCUAACUACCAGCUGACAGGAUGUGAGAACUUCAAAGACACCAAUAAUCAAAGUAGCUCACAUGAGCAGCCUAUUUGGGCAUAUCAAAAUGCAACAAAACAAGAAGCUAGGACACAGUAAGCAAACAUAAAAUAAAUAAAUAUAACAACUUAUUGAUGGCUCAGAGACAAAAAUUAAUAUCAAAUCACAUAAAAAGGCAGACCAUGAUGGCUUCAGCAAGCCACCAAAACAAAGAACUUAGAAACCUCCUGGAGGGAGAUAAGUUCUUGGAAUUACCAGAGGUAGAAUUUAAAAGAGGCCUUCAAGAGAUCAGGAAGGAGAUCAGGCAAAACACAGACCUAAGCCAAGGAACACACAUACAAAGCAAUAGAGGAACUUAAGAAUAUUAUGCAAGAGCAUAAUGACAAAUUUAACAGGCUGCCAGAAUCCAAGAGAAAUCCAAACAGAAAUCCAAGGGUUAACAAUAAAAUUUCAGAAUUAGACAACUCAAUAGAAAGUCAUAGGAGCAGAACUGAGGCAAUGGAAGUCAGAAUUAGUGAGAGUGAAGAUAAAGCACUGGAAACCAACUUAUUUGAGGAAAAACCAGAUAAAAGAAUUAAAAAAAAUAAAGAAACCCUAAGAAUUAUUUGGAACUCUUCUAUCAAGAGGAAUAAUCAAGAGUGAAUGCAGUACCAGAAUGGGGUUGGGGGCGGGGAGAUAACAGAAAAUACAGAGAGAAUUGUCAAAGAUUUGUUGGCAGAAAACCUCUCUGAUAUCAUGAAAGAUGAGAAGAUAUCUAUCCAAGAAGCUCAUUGAACCCUACACAGGGUAGAUCCCAAAAGAAAGUCACCAAGACAUAUUAUAAUCAAACUUGCCAAAACCAAAGAUAAACAGAGAAUUUUCAGAGUGGCUAGGGAAAAAUGAAAAGUCAAUAACAUUAAACUUUGACCAUUCAGCAGGAACCAUGCAGGCAAGAAGGCAAUGGAAUGAUGAUUCUAUAAAGGCUUGAAGGAAAAAAAAAAGGCUGCCAAGAACCAUAUAUCCAGCAAAACUGUCUCUCAAAUAUGAUGGUGAAAUUACGGCAUUUCAAGGCAAAGAAAAGUUAAGGGAAUUUGUAAAAAAAAAAAAACCCAAAA